rnacentral:tRNA from 1 species
GUUAAUGUAGCUUAACCAACCAAAGCAAGGCACUGAAAAUGCCUACAUGAGUACUAGUACUCCAUAAACA